GGAUGGCGUGCAUGGGGGGGUGGGGAGGUUGGACACGUUCAGCAUUACCGCAUGGAAAAGGAGGGGAAAGAUGCUCAAUUUUCAGCAAUUCUGCACACGAACACCACAGCUGCUGUUGCCCAUGAUAGCAUUUGAAGGGCCGAGCCAUAUCACGCGAGGAGAAUGUGGGCUCACAGAUCAGUGCAGCAGAGUCUCAGCAGCGUGACUUCAAGAGCAGGCCGGGGAGCAGAGACUGAUUGAAUAUUCAAGCCUACUGCUGUUUAUAUCCAGUCCGCAUCUCAAGAGGAAAAGCACGAACUGCUUCCCAAUGAAGCAGCCGUUCCUCCCACAAGAGCCCACGGUGCCAGGGCUCUUAGCAAAUGCCUGGUGCAACUACUCUUGAGCGUUCCCCCUGCACACUGGUGCCAACACACAGAUCACUGCGUCCCCGUGGGCUGGCGUGCUCCUAACAGCUUCAUCUGUCACCAAUCCUUUCACCAGACUUCACUUCCGUGGCUCCUUGGUGUACGCUCUGUCUGCUCUCCAUCAUUAUUGCACAGAACACUGCAAUUAUUUGGGC
ensembl:lncRNA